CACAUCCCCCAUCUUCCCCUCCCCUUUCCCUUUCCCCACGUGCCGCCGUCGCCGUGCCGCCGCGCCGCCACCUUAGAGCCGCCGCGCCGCGCCGCGACUCGCGCCGCUGUCGCCACCGUCGCCGCCGCCGCUGUCGCAGCCGCCGCCGUAGGUAAGCCGCCCCCCUCCUCGCGUC
rnacentral:sRNA from 1 species